rnacentral:rRNA from 1 species
UACCGGCGGCUCGAGUGGUGGCCGAUAUUAUUGAGUCUAAAGGGUCCGUAGCCGGCUUUGCAAGUCUCUCGGGAAAUCCAGCGGCUUAACCGUUGGUCGUCCGGGGGGUACUACAUUGCUUGGGACUGGGAGAGGUAGGAGGUACUCAGGGGGUAGGAGUGAAAUCCUGUAAUCCUCUGGGGACCACCGGUGGCGAAGGCGUCCUACCAGAACAGGUCCGACGGUGAGGGACGAAAGCUAGGGGCACGAACCGG